rnacentral:sRNA from 2 species
UCGUCCUCUUGUAUAUCUACUAUGCUGUUAAUUUUUUGCUUAAAUUUGUCCCUUUUGGCUCUAAUUUUAUCUAAAUCAACACUUCUUCUAGUCUUACGUGCAUACUCGGUUGUCUUAUUUUGUAGUUG